rnacentral:lncRNA from 1 species
GUUUUCGAAUUUUUGUAAGGUCUUUUAAAGAGGAAAACCUACCUUUUUUAUUAAAAAAAACUACAUUAAAUGUUGUUUAAAUUUAUGUUUUGGCAGGCUGAGAACCAGAAAACCCGUUAUUGUCCCAGGGGAUCAGAAAUGGGUGAAGACACCUCCAAAAGAGUUUGCUUCUUCUCCCCUGCAGUACAAACAUUCCCGGCUCUUCUCUACCUCGCACGCAAGACCGCUCCGCUCCUGCUGCCGUUUUGCCGGUUGCCAUAAACCCGUAGAUCCGAACUUGCGGUACAACUGACUCACACAAGCUCGAGUCUGUGGGUAUGUGUCGGCCUCGGCCAGAGCAUCAAGAGGCACCGGGGCCACAAACUGACUUUAUAAAGUCGUGGCUUCGCCGUUGAUUCAUCUAAAGACCAGGGAGCGCUCGUGUGCCCCUUGGGAAGAGAGCAACUUUAUCAUCUCCAAGUUCCCCCGUCUUCUCGGCCAUUCUUUGGGAGAACGUGCACAAGGCAGAGGCGGGUACAGAACUUAAGUCCCCGAGAACCUCAACUUUGAUUUUAAACCAUACCAGCAAGAUUCUAGUCCUGAAAUUUGCAGGCCAUGCCUGCUGAAAUAUCAGAAAUCAGAGGACUGGCAUAUCAAAAUUGAGUCUCCGGGCAAGACAAGCCUUAGGGUUGGAUUAGAUGGAACAAAAUAAGCUGUCACCAAAGUAUUGCUUUUCUGGGUCCCUAUCAGGACUGUUUCCAAGUACCUUCGGCUAUGAGUUCAGCUUCAGGCAGAUGCUUAACUGGACCUUUAACACAAGUCAAAGUAGGGGAGGGAAAUGACACUUGUUAUCCUCUUCUUUCUGUUCCUGCUUCUGGGAGGAAGUUUUCAAUUUUUUUUUAAAAAAAGGUGAUGCAGUACAAUUGCAG